UACGUAGGUGGCGAGCGUUGUCCGGAUUUAUUGGGCGUAAAGCGCGCGCAGGCGGUCGCGUAAGUCUGCUGUGAAAUCUCCCUGGCUCAACCGGGAGGGGGCGGCGGAGACUGCGGGACUGGAGGGACCUAGAGGCCGGUGGAAUUCCCGGUGUAGUGGUGAAAUGCGUAGAGAUCGGGAGGAACACCAGCGGCGAAGGCGGCGAACUGGAUAGGCACUGACACUCAACAACGAAAGCGUGGGGAGCAAACAGG
rnacentral:rRNA from 1 species